rnacentral:lncRNA from 1 species
GCGCGGCUCCUGCUCCACACGCGCCUGGGAUACUGCCCUGGGUCGCCCCUCAGGGAUGCGUCUCCGGCAAGGUGUAGGCCACGGCCCCUAAAGCGGACCAUCACCCCCGUGCAAACAGGCACCCUUUAUGCGGGCGGGAGCCCACUCCGAGCUCGCGGAGACGCCCGGAGGCGCCACCACGGAAAGGGGCGUGCGGCGACGGCGGAAGACAGCUGCAGGUGGGCGGGGAUGUGACACCUGGCCCAGGUGCGUCGCCGGGAAUGCGGGGCCGCGUCGCUCGGCGCCUUCCGGAGUCCUAUUCCUCCGGCCUCUCGAAUCCCUGGAAUGUCUCUGGAUACGGGCCUCAGCCCUCACCCCCGCGGAGACCCGCCCCUCACGCCUGGUCCAUCCCAACCGGCUGCGCUCUCCGCGUCCGCCAUCGGAGGGAGCCAUCGGCCGCUGGUCCGGGAGAGCCCUGGCUGCGCCGGCCACCGUCGGUCCGCAAGGUCCUCCUGCCGCCUUCCAGCCUCCCUGCAAGGUGUCGUCCCCUCUAACAGACAUGACAGGACUUGUGAACCUCCGGGAGAUGGGACCUCCUCCCCUCCUCACUCUUUACAGUUACCAUCAACAGUAGCACCACCUGGUAACGUUUCCUCAUCUAUAAAACGGGGAUUAAAUAGAGCCCUGCCUGCAUGAGGUUGCUGCGAGAGGGUUGGAUGAACUGACCGACACUCGAAAACAAUGCCGAAAUGUUCAGUAAGUUAUUUGCACGUCGUGCUACGUUAUAUAUUCAUAAGCACUCUGUGAGGUAAGUACUUCUUAGGGAAGCUGAAGCUGGGAGAGCUUUCGUAAUCACUUGCUAAACUUUGACAUAGUCCUUUGUGGCUACACGGUCAUUUGAGCCUCAGGAAAUGGAACAGUGCUUUUAGGGUCACUGGCCUUUGGCUAUAGAUUCUCUGCAACAUGUCCCUAGGAGAGGAACGGGCUUAAGCAGCCCAAAGGUUGGCUUUGCCAGGGAGAGGUCUCAUGAGCAACUGAACUGUGGCAUCUUCAGUGGUCAUCGCUGCUAACCAUAACAGAGUUUGGCUCGUGGGUCUCUCCAGCACCAUCCUGUCGCAAUUUUUGAUGAUUUCAAUAUCCGUACUGAUGAGACUUCCAAUAUCCGGGCGUGGCAGUUGCUUGAACACAGAUCUGCAUAGAUCUCACGCUCCACGUGGCUGUGCCCAGACGUUGUCCUUGCCAGUAAAUAACUGCAGGCCCUCCUUCUUUCCAUUCACCUUUUCUGGUAUGCCUCCUAAGGGGGAAAAAAAUUAAUCUGACACUUGUUAAAAUGGUAAGGAAGACUUUAUUCAGGACCAUUCCAGUAGGUGUCAGAACUGUCACAAUAGGGGAAAGAGUUGGGGCUCUACAGCAAAGGCAGCUGGGCAUUUCUAGCCAACAAGCAGAACGAGGGAGUCAGCGAUGGGAAAUUACAAAGAGCAUGGGGGGGGUGGUUCUAGCUAAACAGACUUAGGAUUCUUGCUGAAGGCAGGCCAGGGUGAUCAGAUAUCAAGUAUCAAGGGUGGGAAGAUUCUCCCUAAACUAGGCCAGGCGAGGCAGGCCCAGCAAGGAUGGGGGCCAAGUCUAAAGAGGGCUCAGAGAAGCCUGACUGAAGUUUGGUCAAGGAAAGGGUCUUUGUCAUGCCUUGACCCCAACAAUCCUCCACCUCACUGCACCCCGAUCCACUGAUCCUGCCCUCUUCCCAGUCCCCCACUCACUUCCCUUCUUAUCCAGCUUAAAGUUCAUGGUCAGUGAAAAGCUCUCCCUUGUCCCUCUCUCACUUUAUUAACCUCCUGGCAAAACCACAGCCCAGGUAAGUGCAACUCCCCGCCCAGCUUGAACCUGCCCAAGCAGCUAAAUGUGGCUGAAGAAAACAUCCAACUAUGGGAGCUCAUCUCAAAUUCAUGACCAUGAACCUCAAGUGUGCCCUCAUGCUGCCCAGCAUUCAGAUGAGUCUAGUCACUCUCCUGCACUCCUAGAGGACUUACAUCCUCACCCCUCUCUGUUCAACCCUCUGUGCUUCCUGUACAGCUCCUCAGCACCAUCUCACUUCCCAAUUCGGCGAGAAAACAGAAGCCACCAAGAGACUAAAAGCUCCUAAUCCACCACCACGCUCUGCUGUGCCCUCCUGUCACUAGUGAUGAACUGAUCAUGCUCCCAGCUAAGGUCAACCCGCCACUACAUCCCAUUUCAUCAUCUUGUUUUCUCUUUUCAUUGGCUCAUUCCCACAGAUAUACAAAUAUGUUUUCCCCCGUCUUGUCUUAAAAAGGAAAAAAAAAUCUUUUUUGAAUACACUGUACUCCCCCAUUAUCGCUCCAUUUCUUUGUUGUUCUAUAUAGCAAAACUCCUUAAACAAGUUGUCUAUACUAGCUGUUUCCAAUCCCUCCUCACAUUUAUUUUUUUUUAUUUUUGAGAGAGAGAGAGCAGGGGAGGGGCAGAGAGAGGGGGGCAGAGGAUCCAAAGUGAGCUCUGCACUGACAGCAGAGCCUGAUGUGGGGCUUGAACGCACGAGCCGAGCCAUGAGAUCAUGACCUGAGCCAAAGUCGGACACUUAGCCCUAAGCCACCCAGGCUCCCUCCUCACAUUUUUUUCUUUUAAUGUUUUUUAAUAUUUAUUUAUUUUUGAGAGAGAGAGAGCAGGGGAGGGGCAGAGAGAGAGGGAGACACAGAAUCCGAAGCAGCUCCAGGCUCUGAGCUGUCAGCACAGAGCUUGACGUGGGCUCCAACCCACAAACUGAGAGAUCCUGACCUCAGCCAAAGUGGGAAGCCCAACCUACCCAGCCACCCAGGCGCCCCUAGUGGAUUUAAAAAGAAAUGUGAAGAUGGGACGCCUGGGUGGCUGGGUAGGUUGGACAUGCAACUUUGGCUCAGGUCAGGAUCUCCCAGUUUGUGGGGUUGAGCCCUGCGUCCGGCUCUGUGCUGCCAGCUCAGAGCCUGAAGCCUGCUUCAGAUUCUGUGUUUCCCUCUCUCUCUGCCCCUCCCCUGCUCGUGCUCUGUCUCUCUCUCUCUCUCUCAAAAAUAAACAUUAAAUAUAAAUAAAUAGAUAAUAAAAGUAAUAAAAUAAUAACAACAAACCCACUAAAUUUAGGCUUUUGCCCCUCAGCAAAAACAAAACUGCCCAUCAAGUCACCUGUGACUUCCACUCUGUCAAUCCGAGGGUUGCUGCUUAGUCCUCAUUUUACUAAACCAUCAUCAGUUGACAUGCAGGCAUACCUCGUUUUAUUGCCCCUCGCUUUAUUGCACCUCACAGAUACUGCAUUUUUUUCAUACAUCGAAGGUUUGUGGCAGCCCUACAUGGAGGCAGUCUUUUGGCACCAUUUUUCCAAUAGUAUUUGCUCACUUCAUGCCUGUCACAUAUCGGUAAUUCUCGCAGUAUUUCGAACUUCUUCAUUAUUUUUAUAUUUGUUAGGGUGAUCUGUGGUCAGUGGUUGCGACUCACUGAAAGCUCAGACGGUCAGCAGUUUUAAACAAUGAAGUCUUUUUUAAUUGGGGUGUGUACAUGGAUUUUAGACAUAAUGCUGUUUCACACUUAAUAGAUUACAGUGCAGUGUAGCCAUGGCUUUUAUGAGCACUGGGGACCAAACAAUUCAUUUGACAGGCUUUCUUGUGAUAUUCACUUUAAUUGCGGUGGUCCAGAACCAAACCUGUACUAUCUCUGAGGUAUGUCUGCAUUUGAUUACCAUCUUCUCCUCCACCACUUUCCUCUUCUUCUAGGAGACCACACUCACGCAUUUCCUCCUGCUCGGUCUCUUUGGCUUCCUCCUCUCUUAUCUUAACUCUGGAGCAUUCCUAGAUGUUGGAGGCACAGCCACAAGGCAUUGUGGACUUGAGGCUCCACCAAAAACCAGAAGCUCGGUCCUCAGACUUCUUUUCACCAUUUACACUCACUCCCUCAGUGACCACUUCUAGUCUCAAUGUCUUAAAUACCGUCUCUAUGAUGGUGUAGCAAGGGUGUAUCUCCAGCCCAGAUCUGAGCUCCACACUGUAUGUCCAACAUCACACUGACAUCUCCACUUGGACUUCAAACAGGCAGCUCAAACUCUGUAUAUUCCAAAAUCAAAUGCCUAAACUUCCUCCCACAACCUACUCCUGUUAUGGUCUUCCCACGUUUCCAUUUGCUUAGGUAAAAAACCUUGGGGUUAUGCCUUCUCUCACAUCCCACAUCCAACCCAUCAGCAAUUCCUUUUGCCCCUACUUUUAAAAUAUUACCAGUGCCCAACCACAUGUUAUCACCCUACUCCAAGCCACCAUCAUCUCUUAACCUGCAUUAUGGCAACACCCCCCUAACUGGUUUCCUGUUUCUGCCCUUGUUCCUGCAGUCUAUUCUCAAAAGAGCAGUUAGAAGGAUGCUGUUAAGGGGGCACCUGGGAAGCUCAGUCAGUAGAAUGCACGACUCAAUCUCCGGGUUGUAAGUUUGAGUCCCACGUUGGGUGUGGAAAUUACUUAAAAAUAAAAUCUUUUUUUUUUUUUUUUUAAGGAUGCUAUUAAAGCAAGAAUCAGUUCGUGAUGCUUCUGUUUUCAAAACUCUCCAAUAGUGACACCUGGGUGGCUCAGUCGGUUAAGGCUUCCACUCCUAGUUUGGGCUCAGGUCGUGAUCUUAAGAUUUGUGAGUUGAAGCCCUGCAUGGGGCUCUGCUCUGAUGGCUCAAAGCCUGCUUGAGAUUCUCUCUCUCAACAUAAACUAAAAAAUAAUAAUAAUAAAAAUAAAAAAUAAUUCUCCAAUAGUUUCCUAUUUUUGCCAUUGUAAAAGACAAAAGCUUUAAUAAUUAGGAUAACAUACUUAACUCGUGAUUCAUCAACUAUAGUCCCACUACAAAGUUUAUGCCCAUUGCCUUAGUGUAAAUGUUAAUAGUGUUCCUUUGGCUCAGAAUUGAGCCGGAGUGGUCUAUGUAUUUCAUGGCCACUCUACCCCUGUAGCCCUACCCAAUCUGCAUCCCACCCCACUCUCCUCAUCUCCUUGCCCCAGCCUCCAAGAACGCACUGUGGCCCACAGGGCAUGAGCGUCCUUGGUGUUCUGGACGCAAAUUUUGACGUCUUCUUGAAAUCUCCUCCACCAAUCUCAUUUAAAUUGAACCACACCCUUCAUCCCAUCCCCAUUUUUUUUCUCCAUUGCACUAACACCAUCUAAUAUACGUCAUAUAUUUGUUUAUCUUGUUCACUGCCUGCCUAGUCCCAAAAAAAAGUCAAGCUCCGCGAAACAGGAACUUUUGUUUUCUUCGCUACCGUAGCUCUGCCGCUUUAGAAGACUGCUAGACAGUCGCCUGCACGGGUUGGGAAACUUGCUCCUCACGUGACUGCACCGGGCGCCACCCGCCUGCUGGGAAGGGAAGAUGGCUGCGCCCAGGGUGGCCUCAGAAAGAGGGCAACCAACGAGAGGGCGUCGGCUCGCUAGAGCGUCCACGCCUCGCCUAAGUCUGCGGUUGCGUCCUGGGAAGGCGCGAAUUCGGGGGCUACGUGCUGGUCCUCCUCCCCACCUUUUUUUUUUUUUUUGAGGAGAAAGGCAUUAGCUCAUUCUCGGAGAUG